UCCCAUGUAGCUCACUCAGUAAAGAAUCUGCCUGCAAUGCAGGAGUCCCAGGUUCGAUCCCUGGGUUGGGAA
rnacentral:tRNA from 1 species